CCUCGCAUUUCCGGUGAAAUUAUAUAAAAUUAUGAUUUUAACAAAAAAUGAAAAAAUCAACUCCCCAUUUUUUCUUUUUUUACAAAAUAUUAUUUGGAUAUAUAAUAAUUAGGACUAAAAAACUAUCUGAACCAAGCAAAAAACUGGCGGACACUGUCCGUACAACUGUAUAAGCAUGCGUGAUGCUAUAUUCCUUUUUUUUAUAGUAGCUCCUUUUUAUACAAUAGACCUCGCAAAUAUCGGUGUUUUCUUGUCAUUUUACUUGUCUAACCAACCAGCAAUUGUACCGCGGCAUACACAGUGCGCGGUGCGGCGGGAACCAAUCAUACUGGUUAUCGCGAAGACAACUUCCCAAUCAAUCAAGCGAACUUGUAAAAAAA
rnacentral:lncRNA from 1 species